UAGAAGGUAAGCUAAAUGGAGCUGUUUGGGUAAUACCCAUACUGUAGAAUAAUAUUCUUCUUUUAU
rnacentral:tRNA from 1 species